rnacentral:rRNA from 1 species
UGAGUAACACGUAUCCAACCUGCCGUCUACUCUUGACAGCCUUCUGAAGGAAGAUUAAUACAAGAUGCAUCAUGAGUCCGCAUGUUCACAUGAUUAAAGGUAUUCCGGUAGACGAUGGGGAUGCGUUCCAUUAGAUAGUAGGCGGGGUAACGGCCCACCUAGUCUUCGAUGGAUAGGGGUUCUGAGAGGAAGGUCCCCCACAUUGGAACUGAGACACGGUCCAA